UACAGGGGGUGCAAACGUUGCUCGGAAUCAUUGGGCGUAAAGCGCACGUAGGCGGUCUGUCGCGUCGGCUGUGAAAUCCCGAGGCUCAACCUCGGGUCUGCAGUCGAUACGGGCAAACUGGAGUGUGCAGGGGAGACUGGAAUUUCCUGGUGUAGCGGUGAAAUGCGCAGAUAAUCAGGAGGAACACCGAUGGCGAAGGCAGUUCUCUGGGCCGUAACUGACGCUGAGGAGCGAAAGCGUGGGGAGCAAACAGG
rnacentral:rRNA from 1 species